AACUGCUUUUAUACAGGGAUAAAGUGGAGGGACGUGUCCCUUUUUGUAGGUACUGUAUGAUAGGACCGGCUAAUCCGUGCCAGCAGCCGCGGUAAUACGGAAGGUCCCGGGCGUUAUCCGGGAUUUAUUGGGUUUAAAGGGAGCGCAGGCUGAUGAUUAAGCGUGACGUGAAAUGUAGCCGCUCAACGGCUGAACUGCGUCGCGAACUGGUUAUCUUGAGUGAGUUCGAUGUUGGCGGAAUUCGUGGUGUAGCGGUGAAAUGCUUAGAUAUCACGAAGAACUCCGAUUGCGAAGGCAGCCAACAAGGCCUUUACUGACGCUAAAGCUCGAAGGUGCGGGUAUCGAACAGGAUUAGAUACCCUGGUAGUCCGCACGGUAAACGAUGGAUGCCCGCUGUUUGCGAUAUACUGUGAGCGGCCAAGAGAAAUCGUUAAGCAUCCCACCUGGGGAGUACGCCGGCAACGGUGAAACUCAAAGGAAUUGACGGGGGCCCGCACAAGCGGAGGAACAUGUGGUUUAAUUCGAUGAUACGCGAGGAACCUUACCCGGGCUUGAACUGCAGGAGAACGAUACAGAGAUGUUGAGGCCCUUCGGGGCUCCUGUGGAGGUGCUGCAUGGUUGUCGUCAGCUCGUGCCGUGAGGUGUCGGCUUAAGUGCCAUAACGAGCGCAACCCUUUUCAUUAGCUGCCAUCAGGUAAUGCUGGGCACUCUGGUGAUACUGCCACCGUAAGGUGUGAGGAAGGUGGGGAUGACGUCAAAUCAGCACGGCCCUUACGUCCGGGGCUACACACGUGUUACAAUGGGGGGUACAGAAGGCGGGAUCAAUGCAAAUUGGUUCAAAUCUUAAAAGCCCUCCUCAGUUCGGAUUGGGGUCUGCAACCCGACCCCAUGAAGCUGGAUUCGCUAGUAAUCGCGCAUCAGCCAUGGCGCGGUGAAUACGUUCCCGGGCCUUGUACACACCGCCCGUCAAGCCAUGAAAGCCGGGGGCGCUUGAAGUCCGUGACCGCAAGGAUCGGCCUAGAGCGAAACUGGUAAUUGGGGCUAAGUCGUAACAAGGUAAAUCACUGGCCGUCGUAAUCCAC
rnacentral:rRNA from 1 species